rnacentral:rRNA from 1 species
AGUGAACGCUGGCGGUAGGCCUAACACAUGCAAGUCGAACGGCAGCACAGUAAGAGCUUGCUCUUACGGGUGGCGAGUGGCGGACGGGUGAGGAAUACAUCGGAAUCUACUUUUUCGUGGGGGAUAACGUAGGGAAACUUACGCUAAUACCGCAUACGACCUACGGGUGAAAGCAGGGGAUCUUCGGACCUUGCGCGAUUGAAUGAGCCGAUGUCGGAUUAGCUAGUUGGCGGGGUAAAGGCCCACCAAGGCGACGAUCCGUAGCUGGUCUGAGAGGAUGAUCAGCCACACUGGAACUGAGACACGGUCCAGACUCCUACGGGAGGCAGCAGUGGGGAAUAUUGGACAAUGGGCGCAAGCCUGAUCCAGCCAUACCGCGUGUGUGAAGAAGGUCUUCGGGUUGUAAAGCCCUUUUGUUGGGAAAGAAAAGCAGCAGGUUAAUACCCCGCUGUUCUGACGGUACCCAAAGAAUAAGCACCGGCUAACUUCGUG